CGCGGAAAGAGACAAGAGGCAGACAGCAGAAGUCAUCACGGUGAAACAGACUUUCAAUGGAAAAUCAUCCUGCAGCUUCAGCUAAAGCGGAGUUUUGUGACAGGAUAAAACCCCAAGGAUUUCUUGCAUUUUCCUCUGAAGCAUCCGAUACAGGAUUCUGCACUUGGUGGACCACUGAUUUGAUCUGGUACAACUACUCCUAUAUUCCUAAGUCUAGAUCCAGCAGCAUAUAGGAAGACAUUAGACAGACAGACAUGGAACUGGGUGCACCUUGCUCCCACAUCUUUACCAGCAUGCUUUGUUUCAUGCAGAGAAUUUUUUUUUCCUCCUGGGUUUCUUUCCACUGGUAUCCUAGCUGCACUGGAGAAGCAGACCUUUCUGAGUGAAGAACAAGCAUGUAAGAGGUAUCCCUCCCCUUCUAGAUCUGAGUGGAACUAUCAAAAUGGAGGAGGAGCCAGAGAAAUAACCAUUUGCAAUGGAUGAGUGUCCAGCAGUCAGCUGCCUUUAACUUGCAAGACAAUUCUAAACCCUUUGCCUUCUAAGUCUUCACUGAAAAACUCACAAGACAGAUGAGAUGACAGUAGACAAAGAUGAUCCUUUCUAUUGGUCUCCUGCUCAGGCACCCCUAUAAAACUGCUGAUAAAACUGCAGUAAGCAGAGAAAAAGUGGAUAAGCAGCACAACAGGAAGGUAUUGGCGGCAGGGGCGGCUCCAGGCACCAGCACGCCAAGUGCGUGCCUGGGGCGGCAAGCCACGGGGGGGCGCUCUGCCGGUCGC